UAUACCGGGGCAUUACUUUAAUGUAAGCAUCCACUGUAGAUAGUAUAUUUAAUGAGUUCUAUAUUGUUUUCUUUUGUCGAGUCGCGCUGCGCCGCGCCACUCGUGUCCGAGGAAGACGCUGAAUCAGCGGGCAGCGUGGCAGCGUUUGCUCGGGGAUGAACCCGCGAGACCGGAAGAGUUCCGGAGAACAUCCGCGCUGUGUGUUGAUGCAAUUUACGAGAGAUUAAGACCAGCAAGUAAGGCAACUGCAAUGAAGCAUCAAGAAAGACGAGCAUGCCAACCACUCUGAGACUGAUAGUUCAUGAGAAGACAUUUCUGUCACUAAAAAAAGUGGAUGGUGAGCAAAGGUGGUGGCCACGUUUUGGAGCAGCACCUGGGUUUUGCAGAUGGCUGUGUAUUCUUUGGCUGCAUGUCUUUUUCUCCAUUGUUUCUGUUGCCUAUAGAUUCUUUGUGAGGAUACAACAUAAUGCACUGCAAAACGUCCUAAGACAGGGGAAAUGGUGAAGAUGCAGUUUUUUCAACUUUUCAACAAGACUGUAUUGUAAAGUGUUAUACAUGCACUGUUGUAAAUAAAGUAUUUGAUAUUUUGUGAUUAUUGUAUCUGUUUUAAUUGAAUGUCAGUAGUACCUAUGUAGAGUAAAAAUGAAAUUAAUUAAAAUGAAUUAUAUAUAAAGUUAUAAAAUCUACUGAAAUCUAUAUUAAAAUGAAUGAAUUACAGUAGUAUACUGUUGAUUUUGACCUUUUUAAUAGUAUUUGGCUGUAAAAUAGCUACAGUUUGCAACUGUAAAUGAAAUACGGUUUGCUACUGUAAAUUCUAAUUACAGUAACUUACUGGCAACA